rnacentral:rRNA from 1 species
UACAGAGGGUGCGAGCGUUAAUCGGGAUUACUGGGCGUAAAGCGUGCGUAGACGGCUAUCUAAGUCGGGUGUGAAAGCCCCGGGCUCAACCUGGGAAUUGCAUUCGAGACUGAAUAGCUAGGGUACGGUAGAGGGAAGUGGAAUUUCCGGUGUAGCGGUGAAAUGCGUAGAUAUCGGAAGGAACAUCAGUGGCGAAAGCGACUUCCUGGACCAGUACCGACGUUCAGGCACGAAAGCGUGGGGAGCAAACAGG